rnacentral:rRNA from 1 species
GACGAACCGUGCGAACGUUGUUCGGAAUCACUGGGCUUAAAGGGCGCGUAGGCGGGCCAGCAAGUCAGGGGUGAAAUCCCAACGGCUCAACCGUGGAAGGACGCUUUGAUACUUGCGGGCCUCGAGGGAGGUAGGGGCGUGCGGAACUUCCGGUGGAGCGGUGAAAUGCGUAGAUAUCGUAAGGAAGACCAGUAGCGAAGGCGGGUCUCUGGACAGUUCCUGACGCUGAGGCACGAAGGCCAGGGGAGCAAACGGG